GUUCACUUAGCAUGCGUGCUUUUCUCUCCCAACCUGAGGCAUUUGUUAUACAAACGGAAGCAAAUGGGCAUGAUCAAGGGCAAAGGACCAGACAUCACAACACACCGAACUCCAUUCACUAAGGUGGUGAGGCCUGGUACUCACCAGGAAACGAGGUCGAGGAAGGAUCGGAAGAAGCAAUGCAUUCUGCCAAUGGGUAGCUACUCAGCUCAUCUGGUCAAGUCCUUAUUCCAGGUGUGACAGUUCUUAGAAACCACAUCCAAUAAAGUUUUAUUUUGAUGAGCA